rnacentral:rRNA from 1 species
UACGAAGGGGGCUAGCGUUGCUCGGAAUCACUGGGCGUAAAGCGCACGUAGGCGGAUUGCUAAGUCAGGGGUGAAAUCCUGGAGCUCAACUCCAGAACUGCCUUUGAUACUGGCGAUCUUGAGUCCGGGAGAGGUGAGUGGAACUGCGAGUGUAGAGGUGAAAUUCGUAGAUAUUCGCAAGAACACCAGUGGCGAAGGCGGCUCACUGGCCCGGUACUGACGCUGAGGUGCGAAAGCGUGGGGAGCAAUCCGG